rnacentral:rRNA from 1 species
UUGACCUCGGAUCAGGUAGGGAUACCCGCUGAACUUAAGCAUAUCAAUAAGCGGAGGAAAAGAAACCAACAGGGAUUGCCUCAGUAACGGCGAGUGAAGCGGCAACAGCUCAAAUUUGAAAUCUGGCUCCUUCGGGGUCCGAAUUGUAAUUUGUAGAGAGUGCUUCGGGCGAGACCUCGGUCUAAGUCCAUUGGAACAUGGUGUCAUAGAGGGUGAGAAUCCCGUAUGCGACCGUGGCUCGAGCCCAUGUGAAGCCUCUUCGACGAGUCGAGUUGUUUGGGAAUGCAGCUCAAAACGGGUGGUAAAUUUCAUCUAAAGCUAAAUACUGGCUGGAGACCGAUAGCGCACAAGUAGAGUGAUCGAAAGAUGAAAAGCACUUUGGAAAGAGAGUCAAACAGUACGUGAAAUUGUUGAAAGGGAAGCGCUUGCAACCAGACCUGCCCGUAGGCGAUCCGCCGCUGUUCUCAGCGGUGUACUCGCUCUGCGAUCAGGCCAGCAUCGGUUUCGGCGGUCGGAUAAAGGCCUUGGGAAUGUAGCUUCCCCUCGGGGGAGUCUUAUAGCCCUCGGUGUAAUGCGGCCAGCUGGGACCGAGGACCGCGCUUCGGCUAGGAUGCUGGCGUAAUGGUUGUAAGCGACCCGUCUUGAAACACGGACCAAGGAGUCUAACAUCUAUGCGAGUGUUUGGGUGUCAAACCCAUACGCGAAAUGAAAGUGAACGGAGGUGAGAACCCUUAAGGGCGCAUCAUCGACCGAUCCAGAUGUCUUCGGAUGGAUUUGAGUAUGAGCAUAGCUGUUGGGACCCGAAAGAUGGUGAACUAUGCCUGAAUAGGGUGAAGCCAGAGGAAACUCUGGUGGAGGCUCGCAGCGGUUCUGACGUGCAAAUCGAUCGUCAAAUUU